rnacentral:piRNA from 1 species
UGGUUCAUGCCUACAGUAUAAACAACACU